UUACGGCCAUAUCACGUUGAAACAUUGGUUUUCGUACGAUCACCGAAGUUAAGCAACAUCGAGCCUCAUCAGUACCUAGAUGGGUGACAGAUUGGGAACACCAGUUGCUGUAAG